rnacentral:lncRNA from 1 species
UAUUUCACCACAACUUUUUUUUUUUUUUUUUUUUUUUUUUUCAGAAUUAAUGAAGCAACAGCUCAAGCAAGAGACGGCGAGAAAACAGGAGGGUAUGAAAAGUGAGACGACAGGAUGCAGGAAGGAGUCAGGCAAAGCUCACUUGCAGCCUAGCCAUGCAGAGAAGGAGACAGCAGCGUGAAAGUCAUCUGCUCCCCACUGCGGAGGCACCUCUUCCCUGUCUGAGGAGCACAGGUGUGAUCAAGGCAUCCUGAUCCUGGCUUGCCGAUUACAUGGAUGAUCCCGGAAUCUGCUUGCUGGAUUUUUGAAGCGAUCUCUUGUCAGUUCCUUUGCUGUGCCAGUUCUUGGGUGUAGUUCUGGGAGGCAGAAGCUUCCGA